rnacentral:tRNA from 1 species
UAGCUCAGCUGGUUAGAGCAAUCGACUCAUAAUCGAUUGGUCCUUGGUUCAAGUCCAA